rnacentral:tRNA from 1 species
GAGGGUAUAGCUUGGUGGUACAGGGCAUGCUUAGCAUGCGUGAGGUCCUGGAUUCAAUCCCCAGUACCUCCA